CCCGCUGAACUUAAGCAUAUCAAUAAGCGGAGGAAAAGAAACCAACAGGGAUUGCCUUAGUAACGGCGAGUGAAGUGGCAAAAGCUCAGAUUUGAAAUCUGAUGUCAAUUUGGCAUCUGAGUUGUAAUCUGUAGAGGAGUAUUCAAGUAUGACUUUGGCUUAAGUUUUCUUAGAAUAGAGCAUCAUAGAAGGUGAGAAUCCUGUCUAUAGUUAAAGUUUUAUGCUUAUAUGAAUCUCCUUCAAUGAGUCGAGUUGUUUGGGAAUGCAGCUCUAAAUUGGUGGUAAAUUCCAUCUAAAGCUAAAUAUUGGCAAGAGACCGAUAGUGCACAAGUAGAGUGAUCGAAAGAUGAAAAGAACUCUGAACAGAGAGUUAAAUAGUACGUGAAAUUGUUAAAAGGGAAACGCUUGAAGUCAGUCAUGUUUGCUUGGACUCAACCUUGCUCCCGCUUGGUGCAUUUCCUUGUAGACAGGCCAGCGUCCAUGUUGUUUAUUGAAAAAGGGGUGAAAGAAUGUAGCUUCUUUGGGAGUGUUAUAGCUUUCUCUCGUAUGCAAUGACUGAUAUGGAGUGGUACAGCAUGCCUUUGGUGGUGCUUGUGCUGGCAUAAUGGCUUUAAACGACCCGUCUUGAAACACGG
rnacentral:rRNA from 1 species